GUAAAAGCCUAGUUAUAUAUUAAAGUGUGAUUAUCAAAAAUAUAUAAUUUAAUCAAAUGUUUAGGAUAUAUGAGAAACUAUAAACUAUUAACUACCGAUUAUCAGAAAUAUACAUAUAAAUUGAAGAGACAUCAUAUCAAUGAGCAACACAUAUGCCAAGCCAUUUACAUAAAAAUUUCAAUCAGAAAAUUCGACCCUGUUACCCAACUUUGAAGGAAUGAAUCAAAUAUUUAACUUUAACCGCUUGAUUUGAAGUGAAGGACAAAAUUAGCACAAGUGAAGUCAAUA
rnacentral:misc_RNA from 1 species